GGUGGUGGUGUCGCUUGUUCAGCGCCUUUGGCGUGCAUUCUGGCGAUACCUUGUCGUCGUGGCUGGCUGGUACGUGAAUUUGACGUUCUGGCUGGUGAGGGCUCCCGCAAGGUGAGGACGACGACAAAAUGACGCAAUACGACCCGUCUUGAAACACGGACCAAGGAGUCUAGCACGGCUGCGAGUCGAAGGGUGUAAAACCCACGGGCGUAGUGAAAGCGAAUUUUAAAGCAAAUUGGGGAGGCGUGGCGUUUUUAACAAAAUGUCCUACCUUGAGCAUUUGUGCUGGGACCCGAAAGAUGGUGAACUAUGCCGGAGUAGGGCAAAGCCAGAGGAAACUCUGGUGGAGGCUCGUAGCGAUGCUGACGUGCAAAUCGCUCGUCGAACUUGGGUAUAGGGGCGAAAGACUAAUCGAACCAUCUAGUAGCUGGUUCCCUCCGAAGUUUCUCUCAGGAUAGCGGGCCGACAUAUGUUGUUUUGUGCGGUAAAGCGAAUGAUUAGUGCAUUUGGGGUCUGAUAGACUUCGGGCGAUUCUCAAACUUUAAAUGCGCAAGGGGGUGGCUGCUUAAUUGAGCCUACUCUUUGAAAAACGUCGGCCCUGUGGGCCACUUUUGGUAAGCAGAACUGGCGAUAAGGGAUGAACCUUAAGCGCGGUUAAGGCGCCGCAUUGCCCGCUUAUAGAUCCCACAAAAGGUGUUGAUUCAUUUAGACAGCAGGACGGUGGCCAUGGAAGUCGGAAUCCGCUAAGGAGUGUGUAACAACUCACCUGCCGAAUGAAUUAGCCCUGAAAAUGGAUGGCGCUGAAGCGGGCAGCCGACACCGCGCCGUUCCGGCGAGACGAUGCCGGGAUGAGUAGGAGGGCGUGGCGGUCAGUGACGCAGGCGAGGGUGCAGACCCCGCUGAAACGGCCGCUAGUGCAGAUCUUGGUGGUAGUAGCAAAUAUUCAAGCGAGAUCCUUGAAGGGCGAAGCGGGGAAGGGUUCCACGCAAACAUUGAUUGGGCGUGGGUGAGUCGUUCCUAAGCCGAGUGGCAAUUGCUAAGUAGCGGCGAAAGGGAAGCGGGUUAAAAUUCCCGCACACGGAUAUGGAGGCGGCGACGCAAGCAGAGGUAAAUACGCUGGCGAGGGCGCUGGGCAGAGUUGUCUUUUCUGUUUGACCGGCAUCGCGCGGUGUGGAAUCCGCUUAUCGGGAGAAACACGCGCGGGGAGGGGCAGAGCGUCAGGUCUUUUCUGGCGUCCGGCUCGCCCUCGACGGCCCUUGAAAAUUUACCCGCGAACUUUAAAAUUUCAUGCUGUGACGUACCGAUAACCGCAUCAGGUCCCCAAGGUGAACAGCCUCUGCUCAAUAUGAACAAUGCAGGUAAGGGAAGUCGGCAAAAUAGACCCGUAACUUUGGGAAAAGGGUUGGCUCUAGUGGAGCGGGGGUUUUCAAAGGGAGCUCACCUGUGCUUGGUGCAGGGCGGAUGUGGCUAGCUCACGCUGGACGUGUCUGCUCGGUGCCUUGCGCGGGGGACGUUUCUCGCCCUCAGCAUGCUCCAGACUAGAACUGCAACGGGCAAAGGGAAUCCGACUGUUUAAUUAAAACAAAGCAUGCGAAG
rnacentral:rRNA from 1 species